UGUGUGUGCGGUCAGUCGGUAUGAGAAAUGAAAUUUGUGUGAAGGAAAUCGUAAAUGUCAUAAAUUUAAAGUGAUUGAAUCAGCUCGUGUUUAAUAACUGUGGAGAGUUGCCAGACCUGUGUUCAGGAAAACUGGCGAACUUAUAGUUGGACGUAGGACUUGGCCGCGGAAGUAUACAAAGUGUUGUGGUGGUCCAUCGAAAAUACAGUACCGCACUUUAGAAUAUGAAACCCGCUUUGCGGUUAGGAAUAUUUACGCUCGCAGUGUAAUCUUCAGCUGUCAGCAGCAAGUGACAGAAGUGCAAGUAUAAAUAUACUGCUAGUCAAUUUCGUUGGACGCCCGAAACUUAUUUACAAAUAAAACGAAUGACAGCGCUGCGCGUCGAUGUACUCACCAGGCCCGGCAUCAGAGUGCACAAGUGGUUUUUAGUAGUGUGUAUCAUAUUAAGCGUAUUCUAACCGCAUUGAUUGCCCUCCUGUGCGUGGAACUGUUUGCACUCGAGAAAACUGUACCGAAGUUGAGAGGAUCAAACAUGGCAGAUCCCUUUUUGCUUGAAAGCUAUUUCUACAAUAAAAACUUGUUGCAGAAGGACAGAAAUCAGUUGAUGUUUGAGGAUAAAUGGCCAUCUAUGAGGCCAAUUAUUCUUAAACUCCUUCAACAGGAACCUGUUACACAAAAUGAGUGGCAAGAUCUAUUCUAUUCUGUUCAUUUGGUGUGCUUGUGGGAUGAAAAAGGGCCACCUAAGGUUAAGGAUGCACUUAAGGAUGACAUUAUGGAUUUCAUCAAACAAGCGCAACAGAGAGUACUGGCACACCAGGAGGAUCAGGCCCUGUUGAAAGCAUAUAUUGCUGAGUGGAGGAAGUUUUUCACACAAUGCAAUUAUUUACCAACUCCCUUCAGACAACUUGAGACUGCUUUAGCUGGAAAGGCAAGUUCAUCAGGCCAAAAAAAGUCAACAGCAGACGAGAGUAUUGUGAGGAAGUUAAUGCUGGACAGUUGGAACCAGAGCAUAUUCUGUGACAUUAAACAACGUCUUCAGGAUUCUGCCAUGAAAUUAGUGCAUGCAGAACGAAAUGGAGAAGCUUUUGAUUCCCAGCUUGUUAUUGGCGUUCGAGAAUCGUAUGUUAAUCUCUGUUCGAAUCCUGAGGAUAAACUCCAAAUAUACCGAGAAAAUUUUGAAAAGGCCUACAUUGAAGCAACAGAGGCAUUUUAUCGAAUGAAAGCGCCUCAGUACCUCCAGGCAAAUGGUGUUCAAAAUUAUAUGAGGUAUGCUGAUGCAAAACUGAGGGAGGAACAGCACAGGGCACAGAAGUACCUAGAGCCAUGCAGUGGAUCAGUGCAAGUACUGACAGAUUGUUGUGUGAAAGUUUUGGUGUCCACGUUCAAAACCACAAUACUUGCUGAAUGUGCUGGAAUGAUUAAGGCAAAUGAAACUGAAAAGUUGCGGCUGAUGUUUAAGCUUAUGGAUCGUGUUCCCGACGGAAUAGCAUCAAUGUUAAAAGAUCUUGAGGAUCACAUUAUGAGUGCUGGAUUAGCUGACAUGGUUGCUGCUGCUGAUAUAAUUACACAGGAUUCGGAAAAAUAUGUUGAAAGGCUUCUUGAACUCUUUCACCAGUUCAGCGUUUUAGUUUCUGAUGCUUUUAAUGAUGAUCCAAGGUUUCUGACAUCUCGGGAUAAAGCAUAUAGGCAUGUUGUUAAUGAUACACAGGUGUUCAGGCUAGAACUGCCAUCAAAACAGAGUGCAGGCCUCAAGUCCCAGCCAGAAUCAAAGUGUCCUGAACUUCUAGCAAAUUAUUGUGACAUGUUAUUGAGGAAAACACCUUUGAGCAAAAAGCUGACAUCUGAUGAGAUCGAGAAUAAGCUGCGGGAUGUGUUGCUAGUACUAAAAUACGUUCAGAACAAAGACGUAUUCAUGAGAUACCACAAAGCACAUCUCACAAGACGUUUAAUAUUAGAUACAUCAGCAGACUCUGAAAAAGAAGAAAAUAUGGUGGAAUGGCUUCGAGAAGUUGGAAUGCCUGCAGAUUAUGUAAACAAAUUAGCGAGAAUGUUUCAAGACAUAAAAGUCAGUGAAGAUUUAAAUCAACAAUUUAAGGAACAGUACAGGAAUACUAGAGGUAGCAUAGCAGACUCAAUCAACAUCAAGAUCUUGAAUGCCGGGGCUUGGGCACGUGGAAGUGAACGUGUAACUGUGUCGUUGCCUCUGGAGCUAGAAGACUACAUUCCGGAAGUAGAAGAUUUCUACAAAAAGAAACACAGUGGGAGGAAACUACAAUGGUACCAUCAUAUGUCUAAUGGGACGAUAACAUUUGCAAAUAAUGUUGGAAGAUAUGAUGUAGAUGUCACCACUUUCCAAAUGGCAGUUCUUUUUGCAUGGAAUCAGCGUCCAUACGAUAAAAUACCAUACGAAAAUUUAAGGCUGGCCACAGAGUUACCUGAUCCAGAGCUUAGAAGAACAUUGUGGUCUCUUGUCGCAUUCCCAAAGCUUAGAAGGCAAGUUCUGUCAUACGAACCAGAAGUGCAGUCACCAAAGGACUUUGAGGAAAACACCAUGUUCUGGGUUAAUCAAGAAUUUGCUCUGGUGAAGAAUGGAAAGCUUCAGAAACGGGGGAAAAUCAACCUCGUUGGACGGCUGCAGCUUUCCACUGAGAGGAGCAAGGAGGAAGAUAAUGAAAGUAUAGUGCAGCUGAGAAUACUUCGUGUACAGGAGGCUGUUAUCAAAAUUCUGAAAAUGCGUAAACGAAUUACAAAUGUCCAACUUCAAACAGAACUUGUAGAUAUCUUGAAGAAUAUGUUUCUACCCAGCAAGAAGAUGAUCAAAGAGCAAAUAGAAUGGCUUAUAGAACACAAAUAUAUGAGAAGAGAUGAAGACGAUAUUAACACAUUCAUAUACAUGGCAUGAAAGAAAAUGUAAUGUUUGAUGCCAUUGAAGUAUUUGUCUGCAAAGUGGAGAAAUUUCAACAGAAGAGGAAGUUUCUUCAUCCGGAUUCCUAAGAAAGGUGCUGUCCGAAGGCAUCCUGUGGUAACUUUGAAAAACAAAUAUCAAAUAUAUGGAUCAUUAGUUGAAUUAAGCUCCCAUCAAAAUGAGAGUAGACGUGUGCAAAAAGUUGCAUAGGGAGUCUCCCUUUCUUCAACAGUGGGAACAUUAAAAAUGAAGACUCGUACUUUUUAUUAGCUCAUAUCCUGUGACUACAUGACUCUGUGAUAGUGAAUCAGUGUUUUGUUCAUUUGUGACUUUAUUUGUGAACUCAGUGAGAAAUAAAUACAUGAAAAUGUGUAAAAACAGUCAGACAUAAUUAUAAAGAGCUAUGGUUGUAUGAAUGAAGUGGAGACAGGGUGUUGCUGCUCCUUGAUCUUAACCCUUUCCGCUCCUUUGUUGCACUCAUCCCAAUAUUUCAUGGGUGUUGUGAAUCUCUCAUGAACUUGAAUUAUGACUGUUUGUGCUUGCAUUCAUAAGUAUGGAAGUACUGUACCAAAUAAUGGCCAAUGAAUACAUCAGUAGGGGUCAUAAUGUAAUAAAAUCAUCUUGCUUUAUUGACUGCGUCAGUGUGCAGGUUGUUUGCAACUUAAGUCGAUGUGUCACUGUGUAGUAACUGUGUGUCAAUAUGCAAAUAAUACAUUUCUUUUUCCACUACCAAUCCUUAUGCAUAAUAUUCAAAUCUGAAAUGCAACUCUGUAACAUUUAACCUGAAGACUCUGUGUUACCCAGAGAAUCUUCACAUCUUUAUUGCGAGCAUGGCUUUCUUUAUAUUGCCAUUCCUACAUGAACAUAAUUCAUUCUCAACUGUCUUUCCUUUGUCCAACAAGUGUCACUGUAGUAGCUGGUCAUUUCUUCAGAGUUUUUUCCACAUGUUUAAGGCAAAAUUUCAGAAGUUUCUGAUUGCUUGACAUCAGGUGCUAUUACAUUAUAUAAUUUUUUGGGUAAUUUAAUAUUAUUUUGUGUUUUUAAUGUGAGAUUUAAGAUGCAUGCAAAAACCAUUUUUUGUGCUAUGGCUUCCUGCCACACAUUUGCAGUCAUUAAAUACUUCUGUUAAAUGUUAAUAGUUACCAAAAAUACUUUUAAAAUAUUGUGUGAAAGUAGUGGUAUCAGGGGUCUGCCAUUGUCGUGAAUAUCGAUCACAUGCACUGAAAUUUGUAUUUGUGGUAUCCUGGCUUCAGCUUUAAAAGAAGUCACUAUAUAUUUGAAAAAUAUGCAAUGGAUGAAAUUUUUGGGUACUACUCAAAAAUUUUGUUUUGGUUUGUUUCGUGAUGGAUGUUCUACAUUAUCUCGAUUUAGAUACUGUGUAUGUGUGAAUAAGAAUAUCUUUACAAAGAACAAUGAGUCUCAUCAGACAAUGUUCCAUGUUUGUCAUUUGGAAAGUGAGCAUUAUGUGAGUG